UUCUCACACAACGAUGUCCUAGUUUAUUAAAACAAGAAAUCAUCAAUACAUGGAAAAUACCAUUCAACUGCAUAUACAUGAUCAAUAUAUAACAUACAGUGGGUCUGGAAUUAUUGACACCCUUGAUAAAGAUAAUAAUGACUGAAUAAAAUACAUCAAUAUAUAAAAUACAGUGGGUCUGGAAUUAUUGACACCCCUGAUAAAGAUAAUAAUGACUGUAUAAAUAAAUAAUUUAAAUACUGAGCUCUAUCAUCUGCUCAACAACAUGUGUCAAUUAUAUUAUUUUAUGUUAAUACGGUUGAUCUGAUUUAAAAUAUUUUGUUUAACAAGUAAUAUUUAUUUUCUAAAUUAUUGACCCCCCUAUAGAUUCUAAAGGUAUAAAUUAUUGACCCCCCUAUAGAUUCUAAAGGUCUAAAUUAUUGACCCCCUAUAGAUCCUAAAGGUCUAAAUUAUUGACCCCCUAUAGAUUCUAAAAGUCUAAUUUAUUGACCCCCUAUAGAUUCUAAAGGUCUAAAUUAUUGACCCCCCUAUAGAUUCUAAAGGUAUAAAUUAUUGACCCCCUAUAGAUUCUAAAGGUCUAAAUUAUUGACCCCCUAUAGAUUCUAAAGGUCUAAAUUAUUGACCCCCUAUAGAUUCUAAAGGUCUAUAUUAUUGACCCCCUAUAGAUUCUAAAGGUAUAAAUUAUUGACCCCCUAUAGAUUCUAAAGGUCUAAUUUAUUGACCCCCCUAUAGAUUCUAAAGGUAUAAAUUAUUGACCCCCUAUAGAUUCUAAAGGUAUAAAUUAUUGACCCCCUAUAGAUUCUAAAGGUAUAAAUUAUUGACCCCCUAUAGAUUCUAAAGGUCUAAUUUAUUGACCCCCUAUAGAUUCUAAAGGUCUAAAUUAUUGACCCCCUAUAGAUUCUAAAGGUCUAAAUUAUUGACCCCCUAUAGAUUCUAAAGGUCUAAAUUAUUGACCCCCUAUAGAUUCUAAAGGUAUAAAUUAUUGACCCCCUAUAGAUUCUAAAGGUAUAAAUUAUUGACCCCCUAUAGAUUCUAGUAAUUAAAGUAGUCAGGAGGUCAGUAUUUGGUUCUAUAGUCAUAGUAAUGACAUCAUCAAACUCCUGGAGAUUUUGGGCUGUCAAUCAUUUUGACCCCUAACUUAAAAAAUAUAUAUAUUUCUCUCAGCAAUUGUAUUAGUUUAAAAUAAUAUAAUUAGUUUAUAAUAAUAUACUAUAAUUUAUGUUGAGCAAUAGGUCAGUAUUUGAUUUAUUUAAUAUAGUCAUUAUUGCUAAUCUUUAGCAAGGAUGUCAAUAAUUUCUGACCCCUCUGUAUAUUCUCAAGGCGAAUAUUAAAAAAGUAGAGCAAAAAUAAACACUUCACAAAGUUAAAUAAAAAACUGGCACAUUGACAUGAAGCUACAAUAGAAGCUGACAGGUCGAAGCUACAAUAGAAGCUGACAGGUAGAAGCUACAAUAGAAGCUGACAGGUAGAAGCUACAAUAGAAGCUGACAGGUUGAAGCUACAAUAGAAGCUGACAGGUUGAAGCUACAAUAGAAGCUGACAGGUUGAAGCCACAAUAGAAGCUGACAGGUUGAAGCUACAAUAGAAGCUGACAGGUUGAAGCUAAAACAGAAAUAUAAACAUUUCAACAAAUGGUUUUAUCAGUCUUGUUCACAGGAGGCUGCUGAGGGGAGGAGCCUCAUUAUAACGUCUGGAACGGAGCCAAUGGAACAGCAUCAAACAUGGAAACCAUGGAAACCACAUGUUUGAUGUAUUUGAUACCAUUCCACUGAUUCCUCUUCAGCCAUUACCACGAGCCCCUCCUCCCUAAUUAAGGUGCCACCAGCCUCCUGUGGUCCUGUUGAUAUACCUGUGAUUAUCAGGUACUGGACAUAAGAGGGUCUGUAACAGAUUCUAACAGGAGACCUUAGUCCAUCGUUCCAUUCAAUUCAACACUAUCAAUACCUGAGGGGGAUUAGAAAGACAUUGUUUAUGGGGAACACAUAUAUAGAAUAACCAGGAAAUGGAUAUAAACCCAUAAUACAAACAUGGGUAGUAAAACUUCUAAAAGUAAAGAACUAACUACUGGAAGUGGAUUAUAGAGGAGUGACCAACACGUUGAUCAGAGGACUCUGUCUCACCAAGAUUCAUAUCACUCAGUUAUAUACUCAGAAACUCAGCUUUGUUAGGUGGGAUAGGUCUCUAUAGAAAGUUACUGUCUCUCUAUAGUAACUCAGCUCUAUAGUUAUAGUCUCUCUAUAGUAACUCAGCUCUAUAGUUAUAGUCUCUCUAUAGUAACUCAGCUCUAUAGUUAUAGUCUCUAUAGUAACUCAGCUCUAUAGUUAUAGUCUCUCUAUAGUAACUCAGCUCUAUAGUUAUAGUCUCUCUAUAGUAACUCAGCUCUAUAGUUAUAGUCUCUCUAUAGUAAAUCAGCUCUAUAGUUAUAGUCUCUCUAUAGUAACUCAGCUCUAUAGUUAUAGUCUCUCUAUAGUAACUCAGCUCUAUAGUUAUAGUCUCUCUAUAGUAACUCAGCUCUAUAGUUAUAGUCUCUCUAUAGUAACUCAGCUCUA
rnacentral:lncRNA from 1 species